GUGCCUUUUGGUACUACUGGAAGUUCUUCUUAAAAGGGAGGAGAUGAGAUUUUUUUUUCCACUUCCUCCACCCCACUGCCUAGAUUAUGUUGCAAUGUUGCAGUUGUAAUGGGAAGAUACUAGCAGAAGUAGGAGAAAAGGCCUGUGGAAUAUGUCCAUAUUUGCAUUUGAGAAACAACACUGGCUGCUCUCUGAAGAGACUAUGCGGAGCAGAAACAAAGCAAGGUCAGAAGGAAACUACUUGCUCAAAAGGAGACCAGAGGAAUGAAAAUGUGGUAUAACCAGGAGUUGCGAAGUGGUCGUAGUUGUUCAUGUCUCAAUCUGGAUCAUCUUUGCUUUUUGCUUCUGCUUUGUGCUAUCCCUCUUCCCGUACCUCAGUUCUAUCUGGAACCAUGAUCUGUGACUGCCAUGGAAAAGUGUUGGGCAGGAGGAGGCCAGCUGGGUCUUUGAAGUUGACAAUGGAGCCAGGAAUGAAAGCUGCACUUAGGAUGAGAAUUGCUUUCCCUGGAGCCAAGUCAGCAAAUGCAGUCUGGUUGUCAGAGCUGAGAGGCUUCACCAAGUCAAGUAGGGGAGGACAUCUUCACUCUGCAACUUGCCCUACUGAAUGCAGAAAGUACUGUCUACUUAGAUAAAGCCUACACUAAAAGGGAAUUGAAUCUCUGCAAAUAAUCCCAGUGAGAUGAACCAGGUACCUCAGUUGGACAUGGAGAAAUCACCUGUCUUCUGCAUUGUUCUCCCUGGGAGCUGUAGACAGGAGCUUUUCCUAUUUGGCCAUCUUGGAAGUGCCCCAUCAUUUCUUCUAAAAAUAUUUAAGCUUCUUGAGCACCAAUUAUGUUUCAAUAAAAUCAUGACAAUUGUGACUUAAGAAAGAUUCAUUACAAGAUGACUAUAAAAUAUCAUGAAAGAUGUGAAAGUUAGAUAUAAAUAUUACUGUUUAAUCAUCUGCCUGCCUAGACUUCUUUUUCUCAACAAAGUACCUUACCCUAUCCUUUUAAAUGGCCUGUAAAUUCUACUGCAUUUCACUAUGACUGGAUCAGAUGACAUGGAGCAAAUGGAAUCCUUGUAGCAGUCACAUCAUGUGGAAUACUGACAACAUAACACAAGUGCUUCCAUUUCCUCUUCCAUAUCCAGAGCAUAUACUAUAUUUAAUCAUGGCACAUGACUUCAGUAACUUUGCAAAUAUCUUGAAUGCUUUUAAUAGUCUAGACCUGCAAAUGUGGCUAAUUAAAUCACAAAUUUUAACAGCUUUUUGAGGCUUCAUUGACAUAUGAUAUGGUUUGAAUGUAUCCCCCCAAAGUCCCUAUGUUGGAAAAAAUCAGUGUGCAAAAAUCACAAGCAUUCCUAAACACCAAUAACAGACAAACAGAGAGCCAAAUUAUGAGUGAACUCUCAUUCACAAUUGCUACAAAGAGAAUUAAAUAUCUUGGAAUACAACUUACAAGGGAUGUGAAGGACCUCUUCAAGGAGAACUACAAGCCACUGCUCAAUGAAAUGAAAGAGGACACAAACAAAUGGAAGAACAUACUAUGCUAAUGGAUAGGAAGAAUCAAUAUUGUGAAAAUGGCCAUACUGCCCAAAGUAAUUUAUACAUUUAACGCUAUCCCCAUCAAGCUACUACUGACUUUCUUCACAUAAUUAGAAAAAAACUACUUUAAAUUUUAUAUAGAACCAAAAAAGAACCUGCAUAGACAAGACAGUCCUAAGCAAAAACAACAAAGCUAGAGGCAUCACACUACCUGACUUCAAACUAUACUACAAGGCUACAGUAACCAAAACAGCAUGGUACUGGUACAAAAACAGAUAUAUAGUCCAAUGGAACAGAACAGAGGCCUCAGAAAUAACUAUCAUCAGAGUGAACAGGCAACCUACAGAAUGAAAGAAAAUGUCUGCAAUCUAUCCAUCUGACACAGAACUAAUACCCAGAAUCUACAAAGAACUUAAACAAAUUUACAAGAAAAAAACACCCCCAGCAAAAAGUGGGCAAAGGAUAUGAACAGAUACUUCUCAAUAGGAGACAUUUAUGCAGUCAACAGACAUAUGAAAAAAUGCUCAUCAUCACUGGUCAUCAAAUAAAUGCAAAUCAAAACCACAAUGAGAUACCAUCUCAUGCCAGUUAGAAUGGUGAUCAUUAAAAAGUCAAGAAACAACAGAUGCUGGAGAGGAUGUGGAGAAAUACGAAAGUUUUACACUGUUCUUGGGAGUGUAAAUUAGUUCAACCAUUGUGGAAGACAGUGAUUCCUCAAGGAUCUAGAACUAGAAAUACCACUUGACCCAGCAAUCCCAUUACUGGGUAUAUGUCCAAAGGAUUAUAAAUCAUGCUACUAUAAAGACACAUGCACACAUAAGUUUAUUGCGGCACUGUUCACAAUAGCAAAGACUUGGAACCAACCCAAAUGUCCAUCAGUAAUAGACUGAAUAAAGAAAAUGUGGCACAUAUAUACCAUGAAAUACUAUGCAGCCAUAAAAAAGGAUGAGUUAAUGUCCUUUUCAGGGACAUAGAUGAAGCUGGAAACCAUCAUUCUCAGCAAACUAUCACAAGGACAGAAAACCAAAUACCACAUGUUCUCACUCAUAAGUGGGAGUUGAACAAUGAGAGCACAUGGACACAGGGAGGGGAUCA
rnacentral:lncRNA from 1 species